rnacentral:rRNA from 1 species
GCACAAGCGGUGGAGCAUGUGGUUUAAUUCGAUGAUACGCGAGGAACCUUACCUGGGCUCAAAUGUAUGUUGACGUAUUCUGAAAGGGAUACUUCUUCGGACAAUAUACAAGGUGCUGCAUGGUUGUCGUCAGCUCGUGCCGUGAGGUGUCGGGUUAAGUCCCAUAACGAGCGCAACCCCUACCUUUAGUUGCCAUCAGGUUAAGCUGGGGACUCUAAAGGAACUGCCUACGCAAGUAGUGAGGAAGGCGGGGAUGACGUCAAAUCAGCACGGCCCUUACGUCCAGGGCUACACACGUGCUACAAUGGCCGAUACAGAGGGCAGCUACCUGGUGACAGGAUGCAAAUCUCCAAAGUCGGUCUCAGUUCGGAUCGGAGUCUGCAACCCGACUCCGUGAAGUUGGAUUCGCUAGUAAUCGCGCAUCAGCCAUGGCGCGGUGAAUACGUUCCCGGGCCUU